AGCUCACUCUGAAUUCUUUCACGUCUAGAGAACAUUGAAAGCUGCCUUAAGGUCAGCCGCUGAGUGAAAGAAGCUAGAGGCUGCGCAAGUUAGGCACAUCAGUGAAUACCGCAAAUGAUGUUUGGUUUCCUGAGGAUGCAGCUGAUCAUCGUGGGCGUCAUCGCGUUUGCCCUGCUUCCAUUUGGGCAUACCGCACCAUAUGAAGAGCUCUACUCUACCGAAAAAACGAAAAAUUUUUGCUGCGAUUUAACCCAAGUCUCCGGCUUGAUUUCUUAUGUGCCUGGCCCAGAAACAGAAAGCAAUAAAUAAUCUGCACAAUCCAUUGCUCAAUCCUCAACUAGCGUAAUAUUCGCGCCACUGUUUCAGAAGAAAUGGAUGUCAAUAAACAAACUGGUUGAAAUACUGA